CUGGCGGAUGCUUUACACAUGCAAGUCGAACGGUAGAGGGGGCAACCCCUUGAGAGUGGCGAACGGGUGAGUAAUGUAUCGGAACGUGCCCAGUCGUGGGGGAUAACGUAGUGAAAAUUACGCUAAUACCGCAUACGAUCUAUGGAUGAAAGCGGGGGAUCGCAAGACCUCGCGCGAUUGGAGCGGCCGAUAUCAGAUUAGGUAGUUGGUGGGGUAAAGGCUCACCAAGCCAACGAUCUGUAGCUGGUCUGAGAGGACGACCAGCCACACUGGAACUGAGACACGGGUCCAGACUCNUACGGGAGGCAGCAGUGGGGAAUUUUGGACAAUGGACGCAAGUCUGAUCCAGCCAUUCCGCGUGCAGGACGAAGGCCUUCGGGUUGUAAACUGCUUUUGUACGGAACGAAAAAGCUCUUAUUAAUACUAGGAGUCCAUGACGGUACCGUAAGAAUAAGCACCGGCUAACUACGUGCCAGCAGCCGCGGUAAUACGUAUGGUGCAAGCGUUAAUCGGAAUUACUGGGCGUAAAGCGUGCGCAGGCGGUUAUAUAAGACAGAUGUGAAAUCCCCGAGCUUAACUUGGGAACUGCAUUUGUGACUGUAUAGCUAGAGUACGGCAGAGGGGGAUGGAAUUCCGCGUGUANCANUGAAAUGCGUANAUAUGCNGANGAACACCGAUGGCGAAGGCNAUCCCCCUGGGCCUGUACUGACGCUCAUGCACGAANCGUGGGGAGCAAACAGGA
rnacentral:rRNA from 1 species